UGGACAGCAGUACCCCAGCCCCUCUGC
rnacentral:miRNA from 1 species